CCUACGGGAGGCUGCAGUAAGGAAUAUUGGUCAAUGGACGCAAGUCUGAACCAGCCAUGCCGCGUGGAGGAUGAAGGCCCUCUGGGUUGUAAACUUCUUUUAUGGGGGACGAAAUCACUUAUUCUUAAGUGUCUGACGGUACCCCAGGAAUAAGCACCGGCUAACUCCGUGCCAGCAGCCGCGGUAAUACGGAGGGUGCAAGCGUUAUCCGGAUUCACUGGGUUUAAAGGGUGCGUAGGAGGGCAGGAAAGUCAGUGGUGAAAUCCUAGGGCUUA
rnacentral:rRNA from 1 species